AACCAGCACCUCAAGUGGUCAGGAGGAUUAUUGGGCCUAAAGCAUCCGUAGCCGGCUCUGUAAGUUUUCGGUUAAAUCUAUAUGCUCAACACACGGGCUGCCGGGAAUACUGCAUAGCUAGGGAGUGGGAGAGGUAGACGGUACUCGGUAGGGAGGGGUAAAAUCCUUUGAUCUAUCGAUGACCACCUGUGGCGAAGGCGGUCUACCAGAACACGUUCGACGGUGAGGGAUGAAAGCUGGGGGAGCAAACCGG
rnacentral:rRNA from 1 species